UUCAGCAGCAGCUCCGGCGGCGACUCCAGCGGCUCGGCGGCUUCAACGGCGGCUCCAGCAGGCGACGGCCACAGUCGGGGUUUGGGAUUCAGUUUUGUCUAGAUUGCUAGAAGAUGGAAGGAAAGGGAAAGGGACUAGUAAAUCCAAAGAAAAGAGGAAGAGAUUUGAAAAGGUUUUAGGUUGUUUUCCUAUUGAGACAUGUCUACAUUUCCAUUGUAUUUGGUUAUUCGUUCGUAGUGUGUAUUGACUCUUUGAUUCGCAUCAAAAAAAAUCUUAGUGAGAC